UACGGGGGGAGCAAGCGUUGUUCGGAAUCACUGGGCGUAAAGGGCGUGUAGGCGGUCAGGUAAGUGGAAUGGGAAACGCCUCGGCUUACCCGAGGACCUGCAUCCCAAACUGCUUGGCUUGAGUAUGGGAGAGGAUGAGGGAAUUCCUGGUGUAGCGGUGAAAUGCGUAGAUAUCUGGAGGAAUACCGGUGGCGAAGGCGGCAUCCUGGACCGACAUUGACGCUGAACGGCGAAAGCUAGGGGAGCAAACGGG
rnacentral:rRNA from 1 species